UCCACGCAGUAAACGAUGAAUGUUAGUCGUUGGGUAGCUAGUCUAUUCAGUGAUGCAGUUAACACAUUAAACAUUCCGCCUGGGGAGUACGGUCGCAAGAUUAAAACUCAAAGGAAUAGACGGGGACCCGCACAAGUGGUGGAGCAUGUGGUUUAAUUCGAAGAUACGCGAAGAACCUUACCUAGCCUUGACAUAUAUUAGAAUACACCAGAGAUGGAGUAGUGCCUUCGGGG
rnacentral:rRNA from 1 species